GGUUCUAUGGUGUAGUGGUUAGCACUCUGGACUUUGAAUCCAGCGACCUGGGUUGGAAACUCCCGGUAGGACCU
rnacentral:tRNA from 1 species